GGGGGUGUAGCUCAGUUGGGAGAGUGCCUGCCUUGCACGCAGGAGGCCAUCGGUUCGAACCCGUUCACCUCCACCA
rnacentral:tRNA from 1 species